rnacentral:rRNA from 1 species
AAAACAUGUCUUUUUGAUAAAAAUUUAAAGUCAGGUCUGCUCACUGAAUUAAUUUAAAGAGCCGCAGUAUACUGACUGUGCAAAGGUAGCAUAAUCAUUAGUUUUUUAAUUGAAAACUAGAAUGAAAGAUUAGACGAAAAAUUAAUUUUCUUUGUUUUAAUAAAUUUAAUUUUGAAUUUAAGUGAAAAUACUUAAAUAUAAUUGAAAGACGAGAAGACCCUAUAGAUUUUUAUUAUUGAAAUAAAUUUUUAAAUUUAAUUUAAUAAAAUAAUUUAAUUGGGGCGAUUUUAUAAUAUAAAUAACUUAAUUUUUUAAAACCAUAAAUAAUUGAAUAUUUGAUCUAAAAUUUUUAAAGAAAAGAUUAAAUUACCUUAGGGAUAACAGCGUAAUUUUAUUUAAGAGUUCAUAUCUAUAAUAAAGUUUGCGACCUCGAUGUUGAAUUAAGAUAAUAUAUUGGAGUAGAAAUUAAUAUAAUUAGUCUGUUCGACUAUUAAAUUCUUACGUGAUCUG